rnacentral:lncRNA from 1 species
GAUGGCUGGUGGUUGCUUAAAGCCUAUCCAAAGGAGGAGAGAUUCUAUAUCAAAUAGAAAGAAUGAUAUAUAGAAUAAAAUCAUGAGAAAAAUACCACCUUAACCCUAGCCCUAGCCCUAUUUAAGGAUCCUAAAACACCAGCAAGAGGGAGAGGAGAAUCAUCUUUGAAAGCUAGAAAUCAAGCAAGGAGAGUUUGGAGUAUCUGAAA